rnacentral:rRNA from 1 species
AUGAGUUCGCCUACAUCGACAUCUUCAACAACAAGGCGACCACCUACGAGCGAGGGCGACACUUCCAUCUUUGGAAGCCCCUCAAGGAAGAUGGCCGAGCAUGGGAAUUUCCCUUCGGUCAUGGAGACGAGCUACCAGGUGCCACAUUAUAUGGGCCUCCUACAACAAGACCGCGACAAGACGGUCGAGCAAGGGCCAUCCCCUUUGACCAUGGCGGCGAGUACAUAUGUCUUCCACAAAAUGAAGACGUCGCCCCAAUAUGUCUCCUACUCCGAGUCAAGCUAUGAGACCGCACAUGAGACCUUCUCUUUGUUCUCGGAGGAGAGUGAUGUUUUGUCACAUCCUACGGCAUUCACCUUUGCAGUCAUUGUGGAUGAGGAGGUUGAGCAUGGGACUAUCCCUUCAACCAAGGCGGCGAUAGGAGUUGAGCAUGGAGACAUUUGCACCAACAUCUCUCUGACACCCACAUGUGAUGAGAUGCCCCAAUUCCCAUGUGAGGAGAGCGACUCCACCAUGAGUGAUAUGAGUGACUCCACCAUAUGUGACAUUGAGUGCAUUUCCUAUGAGAGGAUAAGUGUAACCACCACUAGCCCCUCAUAUGAGAGCAUGCCACACAUCCUAUGUGAGGUUGAGAGCCAUUUGAGUGACUCCACCAACCAUAUGAGUGAGAGCAUCUUACCGGGAGUGAGUGAGACACAUCACUUAGUGAGUGAGGUAGUUGACACGGCAUGUGAGGCCACUAUGAUUUCUAAUGACUUAACCUCUACUCCUAGUGUGUUUUCUUCUUUGGUGCUAGGUCUCCUAUAUGACGACAUGCAUGUCCUCGAUGAGUCCAUGCCUCCAAUGGAGAUGAUGAUGGCCAUGGUGGACGAUCAUGCACCCCCACAUGGUUCCAUCAAGAUGAAGAUGACCACGACUUGGUCUUUGACACCUCACCUACAACACAUGAGAGAUUAUCCAAAGGUAACAUAG